GAGAUCCCUGCCUACCAGAGGCCUUCCAAAGUGCUGGGGAUGCUGCAAGGGUCCUGGGGCAGAGCCUGGUGGACACAGACCUGGGGACACAGCUACUGGUACUUGGGGGAGGUCAGAGCCCAGCCCAGCUCUUCCCGAAGCCUUGCAUGGAGUAGACAAGUCACCAUGGUAAGAGCAGAACUGGCACCAAACACCAAUAUGAAGCAUGCUGCAAAAAUCAGAGUCCCGUACGCUUCCCAGAGGCACUGAGAUGGGCUACAUCUGAUUUUUGCCUUCCCUUUGCAGCCCUCUUGCUCUCCUCUCCCUGCCUUUGAGAAACAGAUGCACCCAUUCAUAACCAUGCCGAAGCAAGUGCGCAUUUGCCUUUCUGACUGCAGUGCAGCUGGUGAGGCACAGGAGGGAAAAUGAUGCUCCGUAUGAAUACACAAAUUAUCCGCGCUGAUCUUAUUACACUCGAAUGGCAAAUGAGCAGAAAAAGAAAACAUGAAAGAGAGAGGCAUUGUUUGGGCGGCACCGAUGUAGCAUCAUUAUUGUUUAUCCCCUUGGAGCACUCCAUCAUCCUAAUCCUGCUGCCUCCUGCAGAGAUGGGUCAGUGUGGAGCAGUGCAAUGCAGUGCUGGGAGCUCCAGCAGGUCAAGGCCAAGCAUCCCAUAGCUCAAGGCAUCAUCGGUGUUAAAAAGAUCCAUAGAAAGCAGCUGUGCCCAGGAGCCACCCUUAGAGCACCACAUUGACUGCAGUGGGGUCCUGGGUGUGUUAAAAAAGCUUUGCAGCCCCUUAGGUCCUGUGUAUGCAGGUGUGCAAAGGGCUGGGGCAGCUCCUCCUGGUGCAGAGGCAUUUGAUAAGCCUGGCAGCUCAUUCCUUGCAUAGCAAGCAGCAAUUAUGGGGAGAGCAGGAAAAAAAACAGUCACAAGGUGGGAAUCCAAACAGCUCGCAAGUCAUCUGCCAUCAAAACAGGGAGAAAUUGGUGUUUCCUACUUAGCACUUACUACAUCAAGGCAGCUCGGUGAUGCUAAUUAAACAGGUAUCGUCAAGAAGAUUUACAGCCUUCAUUUGCAUUUCUCAGUCUAUUUUUCCAUCCUCUGAGGCAGUGUGAGGAUGGCCACAGUGCAGACCCAGCCCAGAGGCAGCAGCAGCUCCUGUUGAACAGCAGGAUGGGGCAGGAGUCUGUAACUGCGUGAAAGGAGAAGUGAGAACUGCCCGGAGCUGCAGCCCUUAUGGGGAGGCCCACUGGCAGUACCCUGGUGCUUCUCUCUCGCUCUCCCCCAGCCAAGUGAUGAGAGUGGGGAAGGGUGGAGGUGCUGCAUAUCUGAUGCAUACUAAUGUUAUACAAGCAGCUCCAAGUGCCAGGCAGUGACUGGGGGAAGGAAAAGAAAUGCAAUGGGGAUGCCUUCAAACUAAAGCACAGAACCUUGGUGUCACACAGCUGGGUUGGCUCUGUUGGUUCUCUGCUAUGAAGGCAGUAAGAGGAAUUAGUUUUGCAGUGUGAAGGUGCAGAGCAGGGGUUUGGGUAUGGGGCUGCCUGGGUGCUGGCAGGCAGCACACGUCCUGCUCCCACCUCCAGGCUGCUGUGGGUGUAUGCUGCAAUAGCAUCAUCUUCUGCCUCUCGAGCAUCGCAGGCAUCUCAGUGCUACCUGAACAUACUGCUAAUCAGCCUGUGGUCAGGAAUGAGAAUCAACAGCUCUAGAGAGGAGCCUCCUGUGAGAUACUCACCCAUCACCUGGCAUCUUGUGCCUCCUGGAAAGCUUGUUACUGAUUGCAGCUUCCUAACCUUCCAUCACACCAUCUGAAUGUCAUUUGGGAUUUAUGUGCCCCACUAUGCUGAACCAUGUGCAGCUCCUGGAUAGGAAGGGUUCCCUUUCCCUUCAGUCUGUAGCUGCACAAUGCAAACCUGAACUUGGCAGUUCACACCCAGUGUUUUCAGCUCUGAGAUCCCACAGCUGACUCUCUCACAUGCUGGUUGUUGUCACAGCAAGCAGAGCGUGGACAGAACGGCACAAGAGAUGGAGGGUCCUGGGAGUUCUCCAUCCUUGGACUAACAGCAGCUCCACAGCAAAACAAUCCUAACAGAAAACACUGAGGUGCUUUUAGAAUGGGAAAAGCCAAACAGAUGGAAAAGCCAUGUGAAAUCUUGAAGCUGAACGCAGGGUGGAAGGGAAGAUUGAGCAACCAGGGCUGUGCAUGCUCAGUGAGCAAUGCAGAGACACUACCCUGAGCUGACUGCCAAACCAGAGCAAGUGACAAGUGUUGGAAAGCCGAGGGACAGCACUUGACAGGAUGACAUCCAGUGCUGGUUUAUGCUCAGUGACAACAUGGCAAACCUUUUCUCUCAGAGGGGCUGAGGAGCAGACCUGUGCCAAGGCACCAAAGAGGGGCAAUACAACAGAGGACAACUUUCAGUGCAGAAUUCAAUUACACUCCUGCUGUGUGAACCACUGUUCCAUGGCUGGGCUGCUCUCUUUCCCUGCUGGAGCCAGUCAAAGGAUUUGGAGAGCAUCUGCAACCUGGGGAUGGAAAAAGUGCUUUCCUGUCUCAAAAAUGGUAAGCAGUUGUUCCAGAGCUAAAGCUUUAUUGUUUCCAGUAGUAAAACACUACAUAAAGGUUAUAAGGGAGGGAGAUGAGAACAACAAAACAAUAAAAGCAACACAAACAACUGGAGUAGACUGAGCACCAUGUGCUGAGCCCUUCUUGCCUCCCUUGAGCCAAGUGAAAAGACAUCAACUGGUGCAACUUUAGGACAAUAUUCCAACCAGAAUUACAGAAUAAUAGAGAGAGCUGCAACAAAAGGGAAGGAGAUGUUUAAAAUAGAAAUGAUAUGCACGCUGCUGAGUGUGUGCAUCAGUCCCAUUGGGAUGGGACCAGGUCAUGUUCUCCUGGGCUGGAUCCUUCCCUUAACCCACGAGGAAUCUUCCUAUAGAUGGCAGAAUGGUCUUGAUGACCAGGUUUAACAACCACAUCACUGGGAGCAUUCCUCAGUGGAGAACAAGCUCAUCCCUUGCUCUCUUCAAUACCAAAGCUGUGAAAUCCAUGUCCAGACAUUUCUCUUCCUGCAAUCUAUGUCACCCAAAGGCUUCACCUUCAUUUACCAAAGGGCAGAAGCAUCACGGAGGAAUAGUUGGAAGGUGUUUCCCAGAAGCGUUAGCUGGAAAAGCAGUAGGGGAACAGUGCUCUGCUGGACCAGGUUUGUUUAGAAAGAAAGUCAAGGAUUGAUUUCCAAUCUCCUGUUAGAGUAUUCCAGCACCCGAUCUCAUUUAUCUUCAUACUGCAGCCAUUUGUAAGAGCAUAUACUACAUGCACACGGAGAGCCCAGCAGCAAAAGAGUACUGAACAAAAGAGUAAUAACCAAGGGAACAGGCUGACAUUAACAGGCACGAAUUGCUUUUAAAUCCACGACUGAAGAGGGAACUUUUUGGAAUCCUUCAUUUCUUCAGCAAAACACAGGUCAGAUCUAAAGCAUUUCAUCAAAAUGCACAGACUCCUACUUGCUUCGAGUGAGCUUUUGUUCAAGCCUUUAAGGAUCUAAUUGCUCUGGAAAUGUCGGGUAAUUUGAUUCUUCUCAUCAGCCAGGUCUUAGAGGGGGAUUGUCCAUCCCAGGAAAGCAGCAGGACUGGGGCAGAGCUCUCAGCCUGACUCAUCUUGACACCACCACUACAGCCAGAUGCUCGAGACUUCCAGGAAAAAGGUACAACACAGGCCCCUGUUUGUGCAGGAGAUUACAAGGUGCGCACGUGGGAGGAGAAUCUGCAGAGCUUAAAGAGGUAAAGUAAUUGAAAAGCUUUUAGCUGAUUUGGGCAGCCAGCUGUGGGUGUGUGUGUGUGUGUAGGGGGGGUGUUCUCCCACCCAGAGCUGCAGCGUGUGUUCUGCUCCUGGUCCUGCUGCAUUGCCUACAGUGCAGGGUGUGAUGAAGCUGCUUCACCAUGCCAAAACAGGAGGCAGGGCAUUGGGGCAGGGAGGACAGGCAGAUGUGUGCUGUUGUGUUGCUGGUGCUUGGGCAGAGGUGGCUUCAUCACAGUCCUCAUUGGCACCGGGCAAUGUCCAUAGUGAGGCCUACAGGAGGGGGCAAGUGUUGGGUUCAGGCAGCUCAGCUCCAUCUUCACCUCCAUCAGCACCGUGUUCUGGUGUGGGUGCGCCAUUUGCCUUCAAAAUAAAGACAAGCAGAAGUUAAUGUAGAAUCAUUAAGGCUGGAAGAGACCUCUGGGAUUCCCAUGUCUGAUCCUGGUCCAUGCAGUGACCACAGUCCUUAGUGGUCACUGCAGGAUGGAGACACCCCACCUCCCUGGGCAGCUGUGCCACUGCUUUGUCACCCACUCUUAUGUUCCAGCCCCUUUGACUGCCUUGUUGCCCUUCUUUGUGUGAGAAAGAGUGGAGAGAGUUGAUAAAAGUUAUCUGAGAUUGCUUUUAGCUCCUCGGUGCCAUUUUAAGAGCUUCCUAAAAAUAAUAAUGAAGAGAAUGUCUGUGCAUCAUUACUCUGCACGCUGUCAGCAGUCAGGGCCCAUUAAACUUUAUUAAAGAAAGAAAAGACAGGCAAAUUGGGAAAGGAGGAGAAAGAAAAAGCGGUGCUGAUGGAGCUGGUGUUCUGGUACAUCACUCAGGGCAGGCAGAAAUCCAAAACUCAGCCCUUGAGGUUUCCAAACAGCACCCAGGGAGCCAACCCUGCCCCAGCUGGGCCAGCAUGUGUGUGGGAUGAUGGGCAUAGGGCAACAGGGCUCAUGAAUAACAGAAUCAUUCAGGUAGGGAAAGACCUCUCAGAUCCCUAAGUCCAACCCCACCAUGCCCACUGACCACAGCCUUCUUUGCACACCCCUAUGGUUCUUAACACCUCCAGGGAUGGGGACCUCACCAAAUCCCUGUGCAGCUGUGCCAACACGCUGUGGCUUUUCAGAGAAGUUUUUGCCAAUAUCCAAUCUGAAGCUUCCACAGUGGCUACUUGAGGCCAUUCCCUCUUCUACAUGGAGCCCAAAGGGCCCUUCUCUGAGCUGAAUGGGACAUGAAUUAGGCUGGUUCAAGGAGAGACAACUAGGCACUGCAUGGGAGAGGCACAAAAACAGGAGCUUCAUCUCCAGCUGCAGACUUCUUUCCCGAUAUAUUGUGUGAAAGAGAUGAGAGAAUGAGUCUUUGUCAUUCCUCUGUUUUCAAGGGAAAUGCCUUCAAUUUAAAACUCCAUGGAGAAUUACAGAAAUGGUGAAAGUAAUUCAUUUAUUUUUUAAGCAAAGAAAGGCUUGAGAACCUGACUUCAAGGCAAGGCUCAAAGCGCUGGAAAUGUUUUGGUUCUACCACUGGAAAAUGAAAGCAUUUUAAUUCCUUAAAGCAUGGAAGGGGGACAUUGGCUUCUUCUGAGGUUCCUAUUAAGCAGCACAUUGUACCUAAAGCACAAACCCUGAAUCACUUCCCAGCUCUGUCACUACUGGAAGACAUGUUUUAUUUAUCAAUACAGCGGGGUGGGUUGGUGCUCUGCAGCACCGAUCGGGGAAGGCAGACACAGCUCAAAGCUUCUCAGCCAUGAAGGCACAGUUCAGUCUUUUCUGCUUGCAGAAGAGGGACUGGCUCAUCCUCAGCAGCAGGAAGGCUCAACCCCAUGACAACGGGACACAAAUGGGGUGGGAGAGCAAUUAAAUGGGGAAGAGAUGGCAGCAACUUUCUUGCCAAGCACAGGAAAACAAAAGUCACCUCCCCAAAGACUGUCACCAAGAAAGUCAUUACAGAAAUUACUCUUUCAUUUAGAGCCUAACUAAUUUCAAGAUAAUUUUGUUGUUGUUUUUUUUUCCCCUGCAUGGAAUGAAUGGAAUGAAAUGUUACCUCCCCAUCAUCCCUGAGGGAGCAAACCAGGCAUCCUGAGAGACAGAAGAGAAGGCAAAGAAGACCACCUCAGUGACCCCCACUUGGGAUUCACCCACUCCUGUGCCCUGCAGUGAGGACCCACCAAAGAACUGCAGCCGAUCCCCUGUGCUCUUAAUCAGCUCCAUGCAGCAGCCAAGCCCCAACCCAAAGCUGUAAUCUCCAUUAAAAGCUCUCCGUGGGCUAAUGAAAUCCAUCAAAAUAUACGGCUGGUUUCUUUGUUUAAUGCUGUUUAAUUUUCCCUUUCGUUAAUAAAAACGUCGUAAUUAAGAACAGGGAGGUUUUUUGCUCUUCUCCCAUUAAGGGAACAACACAUCAGCUGUGCAGCCAAAGGAAAAGGAGUCUCACCCAGCCAGGCAGGGGCAAGGAAGGGGGAAAGGGAGAACAGGCAUUUCUUAUCUGCAAUUUUCCUUCU